GAUGAAGAACGUAGCGAAAUGCGAUAAGUAAUGCGAAUUGCAGAAUUUCCGUGAGUCAUCGAAUCUUUGAACGCACAUUGCGCCCCCUGGUAUUCCGGGGGGCAUGCCUGUCCGAGCGUCAUUACAACCCUCAAGCUCAGCUUGGUGUUGGGCCCCGCCGCCCCGGCGGGCCCUAAAGUCAGUGGCGGUGCCGUCCGGCUCCGAGCGUAGUAAUUCUUCUCGCUCUGGAGGUCCGGUCGUGUGCUCGCCAGCAACCCCCAAUUUUUUUCAGGUUGACCUCGGAUCAGGUAGGGAUACCCGCUGAACUUAAGCAUAUCAAUAGCGGAGGA
rnacentral:misc_RNA from 1 species